rnacentral:rRNA from 1 species
GGGCCCGCACAAGCGGUGGAGCAUGUGGUUUAAUUCGAUGAUACGCGAGGAACCUUACCAGGGCUUAAAUGUAGUAUGACCGGCUUGGAAACAGGCCUUCUCUUCGGAGCAGAUUACAAGGUGCUGCAUGGUUGUCGUCAGCUCGUGCCGUGAGGUGUUAGGUUAAGUCCUGCAACGAGCGCAACCCCUAUUCUUAGUUGCCAGCGGUUCGGCCGGGGACUCUAAGAAGACUGCCAGCGCAAGCUGAGAGGAAGGUGGGGAUGACGUCAAAUCAUCACGGCCCUUACGUCCUGGGCUACACACGUGCUACAAUGGUAUCUACAACAGGAAGCAAGACUGCGAAGUUAAGCAAAUCCCUAAAAGAUACCUCAGUUCGGAUUGCACUCUGCAACUCGAGUGCAUG